UCGACGCCACGACGCCAGGCAGCGACAAG
rnacentral:sRNA from 1 species